AUUGAACGCUGGCGGCAGGCCUAACACAUGCAAGUCGAGCGAGCGGCGGACGGGUGAGUAAUGUCUGGGGAACUGCCCGAUAGAGGGGGAUAACUACUGGAAACGGUAGCUAAUACCGCAUACCAUCGGAUGUGCCCAGAUGGGAUUAGCUAGUAGGUGGGGUAACGGCUCACCUAGGCGACGAUCCCUAGCUGGUCUGAGAGGAUGACCAGCCACACUGGAACUGAGACACGGUCCAGACUCCUACGGGAGGCAGCAGUGGGGAAUAUUGCGCAAUGGGCGCAAGCCUGACGCAGCCAUGCCGCGUGUAUGAAGAAGGCCCUCGGGUUGUAAAGUACUUUCAGUGACGAGGCGUUAAUCACAGAAGAAGCACCGGCUAACUCCGUGCCAGCAGCCGCGGUAAUAC
rnacentral:rRNA from 1 species